GCAGUGGUAGUUCAAUAGUAGAGUAUCUGUUUUGUGUACAUAAAGUCCCAGAUUCAAUCCCUGGCCUCUCCA